AAACAAAGAGGAUAAUCAUCUAAU
rnacentral:snRNA from 1 species